UAUUACAGCCAUACCACACUGACAACGCCUGAUCUCGGAAGCUAAGCAGAGUUGGGCUGGGUCAGUACUUGGAUGGGUGACCGCCUGGGAAUACCCCGUGCUGUAAGCA
rnacentral:rRNA from 1 species